rnacentral:rRNA from 1 species
GAUGAACGCUGGCGGCGUGCCUAAUACAUGCAAGUCGAGCGAACGGACGAGAAGCUUGCUUCUCUGAUGUUAGCGGAGGACGGGUGAGUAACACGUGGAUAACCUACCUAUAAGACUGGGAUAACUUCGGGAAACCGGAGCUAAUACCGGAUAAUAUUUUGAACCGCAUGGUUCAAAAGUGAAAGACGGUCUUGCUGUCACUUAUAGAUGGAUCCGCGCUGCAUUAGCUAGUUGGUAAGGUAACGGCUUACCAAGGCAACGAUGCAUAGCCGACCUGAGAGGGUGGUCGGCCCCACUGGACCUGAGCCACGGUCCAGACUCCUCCGGGAGGCAGCAGAGGGGAAUCUUCCGCAAUGGGCGAAAGCCUGACGGAGCCACGCCGCGUGAGUGAUGAAGGUCUUCGGAUCGUAAAACUCUGUUAUUAGGGAAGAACAUAUGUGUAAGUAACUGUGCACAUCUUGACGGUACCUAAUCAGAAAGCCACGGCUAACUACGUG